GGGCGGGACAACAUGGCGCGGGUGGCGCACGUCGUGGCCGACACCGGCGCCUUCCUCAGCGCCGCCCCGCUGCAGGACAUCGCGCAGAACCUGUACACCGUGCCCGAGGUGCUGGCCGAGAUCCGCGACAGGCCGACGCGCCGCCGCCUGGCCGCGCUGCCCUGCCAGCUGCACCUCCGCCGCCCGCGGCCCGACGUCCUGCGCCUCGUGACCGACUUCUCCAAGAAGACCGGGGACUACCCCAGCCUCUCGGCCGCCGACCUGCAGGUGCUCGCCCUCACCUGCCAGCUGCAGGCCGAGACGGACGGCCCCGGUGGCCUCCGCUGGGAGCCCCAGGAUAAGGUACAGCUCAGCUCCACCCCACGGCACCCCGAGGCCCCCCUGCACCUCGCCGGCUUCCACCUGCCCACCAAGGUAAGGGAGAGGGACGCAGCGCUCCAAGGUACGGCGCUGGGGAUGGGGAACACAGCCCCGCAGAGCCCACGGGCAGCGGCGGGCAAGGGACCCCCAUCCUGCAUCCCCCCACAGCACAAGCGCCCAGGGAGAGGCCAGCAUCAGCCCAGUCCCGAGAAGAGCACAGUCCCAUCCGAGAGUGACGAGUUCAGUUCCUUCCUCUACUGGCGAGCCCCCCUGCCCAGCAUCGAGGAGGAGCUGCAGGAGCUGCUGAAAGCUCAAGCCAUCUCCAUUAGCCCAGAGACCGCUGAGGAGUGCCAGAGCUCUGAGGAUGGGGCCAGUGCUGAGGAAGAGGAGGACGAGGAGAGUGAUGACGAGGGUUGGAUAACGCCCAGCAACCUCAAGCAGGUCCAGCAGGACACAGGGCACUGUGACACUACUCCCGUCGGGGUCCAGGUCGGCUGCGUCACUACUGACUUUGCCAUGCAGAAUGUGCUGCUGCAGAUGGGCCUCCACGUGCUGGCAGUGAAUGGCAUGCUGAUCCGCCAGGCCAGGAGCUACAUCCUCCGCUGCCACGGCUGCUUCAAGACCACUUCGGACAUGACCAAGGUUUUCUGUCCCCACUGUGGUAACAAGACCCUGAAGAAGGUCGCAGUGAGCGUCAGUGAUGACGGGAGCCUCCACAUGCAUUUCUCCCGCAACCCCAAGGUGCUGAACCCGCGAGGGCUCAGGUACCCGCUGCCAGCCCCGAAAGGAGGGAAGCACGCCAACAAUCCUCACCUGGUGGAAGACCAGCCCUUCCCGCAGCAGCGGCUGUCCCGCAAGGCCAGGCAGAAGACCAACGUCUUUGACCCCGACUACAUCGCCGGGGUUUCGCCCUUUGCGGAAAACGACAUCUACAGCCGUGCGGCCAAUCUGCAAAUCCGGGACGCGGCCCUGGGCGCUGGCAGGAGGCGCCUGAACCCCAACGCCGUGACAAAGAAGUUUGUGAGGAGGAGGUGAAGGCUGGGAUGGGGUCCCCUGCAGCAGGUGCUGUGAGGGAAGGAGCAUCCACCCAGGCGUUGUAUGUUGCUGCCAGACGCCUGACGGCUCCGCGAGGGUGAGGCCUCUCCCAGCAUCCUUCUGAAGGCAGCCACCCUGGGCAGGAGCCAGGCCUUCCCUUUCACGCCCCUCCAGUGCCUGAAGAGCAGCCGUGACUGGGGGUGAUGAUCAUCAGGUUUGGGGAGGCUCUGACCUGGGAUGGCCCGCCAGAACCAGGGGGAGCCGCCUGAGCUCCAGCAGCACACACCACCACAGGCACAACUCGGCACGGGCUCCUGCCUUCCCAGUAUUUCCUGACCCUAGCGCCGUACAGUUCCCAGACGGGUUGAUUCUGUACUGAAGAACAGCACUUUCUCCUGGCAGACAGAAGAUGCCCUUGAAAAAAACACAACAAGACUUUACACUGCAAAAUGAAAACUUUCAUUGUUUUAUUCUUGACUGCAGCUGUUUACAGAAAUAUAGUUGCGAGUAUACAAAUGUCCCAAUAGAAGCAAAAUAUUUUUAUUUUUUAAUAUUCAACAAGUUAUCACAGGAUAGCUAAAAACAUAGAUGCAAAUAAAAUAUCCCCUCAUAGAACAAACUGAAAACACCGGGUAUCAGUGCUUUGAAAAUCCCAACUACGAAAGCCAUAUACACAGAAAUGCACAAAGGAAUAUCUGGUGCUACUUUCACAUUGCAGGACAGUGGAAGAGGCAGCUCAGCGGUCGACCAGUGCGCUCCAGGAACACAUGGCAGAAAGGCAGGUAAGCCACUCAAAGAUGCAGCUACUAACAGAGGUAGAAAGCUCUGCUCUGAAGGUUUUUGGAGCUUACUCAUUAAUAAUGAGCUCAAAUGUAAAUAUUUCAAAUAACCUCAUCUCAAAUAGCAUCCACAAUAAAAAAAGCUUCAGGAAUACUGGAAUGUGUUCCCAGUUCUGCAACACCCAGGAAUGCCACGCUCCCUCCUUUCAAAAGGGAGCUUUUCCCCUCAAGUGCCAUUAUCCCGACCUCCGGGACGGCCGCACUCAUGCGUGAGGACCCACCUGCACAAGGGACACACAGGCCAGACCUUCCCCGGCUCACCAAGGGGCAGUUCCAGGGACUAAAAAGAAUUGAAGGCCAUUUAUGCGAUCUGAACACAGGACCCUUUGCUAAUCUGAAUCCUGGAGCAAAUGCAGACAACUGGAAUAUUGUACAGCGGGCUGCUGCUGGGUGUUGGAGUUUUGGAGUCUGAACCAAGUGCUCGCAGAAUGUCUGUGAGUAUCCCACAGCAAGCAAGGAAAUCCUUGGAUUCCCCACUCUUGUCCCAAUACACUUGAAUGUUGUGAGGCAAUUUCAUGAACCAUAACAGCAAAAAUUACAGAUCUCUGGAAACAGCAGAGAUCAGACCUGCAAACUGACGCCUCAAAGAGAAGAAAUGAGGCCAUUUGCUUUUGGUUUGGCAGAAGUGCUUCGAUGAAGCCUGUACCAGGGCAAUAAUGUCUAUCAAUCAACCUCAUGCCAAACUGCAGCAGAACACCCCUGAUUUGGCAUGAAGAGUCAUGGUGGACAAAAUACAUGCUAUUGAUUUUAUGAUCUGUAUUUCUUUCAGGGGGUUUAAUUUCUCACACAAUCUGUAAGAAAUCAGUACAAGUCACAGCAGGGUUCCUCACAGCUAGAAACCAAGGAGAGCUUUCACCAGCUUUCAAGGAAAGAGCUUUCUAGAUAUUGACUGUUACAGUAAAACAUCAGUCAAAAAACAACAAAAAAAAUUAAAGAUGCCUGCCUUUAUGAGAAUAAAGAGAAGAGGAAUGACAGAUUAAGCUUCACCUUCCCGAUCCAAACACAACCCAGCGAAGCAGCAACCGGGAUCCUUUGCUAUGCAAGAACAAUUAAUAACCCUCACUGGGAGAGAGCUGCUGGUUGCAGUCCAGCUCCUCCGGAGUAACACAGCCACCACCAUUCCCUAUCGGCAUGAGCUGCUGGGACACUGAGAAUGGAAAAGGUGCCGAAGUCAGGAGUCACUUGAGGAAAGCUGGCAGGGGAGCACACAGAAGCAGACAGCCACUGCUGCAUUUCCUGAGCCCAUCCAGUGGGCAGGCUCUCAACCGAGGCUGUCAGGUCUACUGUUUAGCUAACACCACAUCUGCAAUUAUUAAUCAAAAUAUAUAAAAAUACAAAAGUGUACAGCUGUUUUCAAACCGUGGAUAUUAGUGACGUUCACAAGCCAAGCAAGUUUCUGGAGCAACGUUACCAACAGCGCCACAUCUACAGUACGGAAAGGUGUUGAUACAACUAUUAAUGAGUUACUACAAAAACCUUGGUAAAUAACCUCAGACUAAGGAAAAGUAGUAUUAUUUCAGGUUUAUAAAAAUGUAAAUAUAACAGUAUUCUAUGCAUGUGUCUACUAAUUUUUUAUAUAUAAUAGAUAUACGAUUCCUCUAUAUACAUAUAUAUAUCCUAGAAUAUACAGGCAUUGCAUAUUUACAUACCUAUACAGAUUAUAAGAAAGGAAAAGCCUCUCCUCCUGUGUAACCCCUCUGAGCCUCAUACUCAACUAGAGAAUUUUACAAGUACACUUUUACAGGAGUUUAUCUGCCACUGCAUUCUUCCUUGUAUCUAACGAACAUUUACCACAUUUCCCACAGUGACCCUCUAUGCUCGAUUCCCAGCCUGCAGUGGGCACAGACGUACCCCUUUGUGGGCUCAGGUGACUACUGUUGUACACCACUGGCAUAAUUGGUCUGAAUAUGAACAUGAAGUGCUCACAAUCUAUCCCAAAAGACUACUCCAAAUUAAAACAAAAACCACAAACAAACAAAGCAAGCAUCUCAGUACUAGUUUCCUUUUGGCUUGUAAAACAACAGAGCUGCCACCAGUCCUCUGGAACACCAAACACACCUAUUCCUUGAAAAUAAAUUUUGCACUAAUGAGAAGUCACCAGUGAUCAGUAUUUCCUCUUCUCACUUUCCACCUACAACUCAUAGCUCAGCGCAUGCAAAGCAAUUCAUUCUCCUCAUUCUUGCUUCUAUCACUCAGAUAAAUAUCCGUAAUUCCUUGUACUCCUCUCCUGUAUUUACCCUGAAAAAGUAACCCAACCAUUUGCCAUACAGAGGCAUGGGAUUCAAAAACUGACAGUGAAACUCUUUUCUAACUCUUAACGAAUGUGCACGUGCAUGCCUGCACACACACGUACGUACCCUUGGGGGAAACUACCUGUAGCUUUUUCAGUCCAGUAACAACUUUUUUGAUUUCACUUUUUAAUAAGUCAUCUUUCCUGCUACUCAAAUUGCAAUUUAAACUAUGUUUUAAGACAAAUGCAAGCUUCUGACUUGUUUGGUAUUCUUUCUGAAGACUCUGGAAAGGUCAUAGGAGUAGAAAAUCUGUUCAGACAAGUUUUCUUUUAGAAACGAUAUCCUAAAUCAAAAUCACAAUAGAAGCUUUUAAAAAAAUAAUAAAAAUUCAACUUAUCUAAAUCAGGGGAAUGUCAACUGAUACAGCUGCCCAGGCUCUUAGUAUUUCCAGUAAAAAAACCUGCCAAAGUUACAAACACUUAACUGUUCAUGCUUUAUUCUAUCUUAAAACUACAUAGGAAGUAACCACCCUGUCAGUAGUUAGAAGUAAUUAUAAAGUGAUUGGUGAUUAAACAUCCACUUUGAAACAGCAAGGCUGAAAUUAUUUCUUCAACUAUUUUUAUGUUAAAAUAAUAGCAAAGCAUUUGGCUUGAAUACCUGUUCAAAGAUCAGACAGUGAAGAGGCAACUGACAACAAAAUGUGGACUUGCUAAUUAAGCACAGAGCACCAGUAACUUCCUGCCAGAGGAGAUGUUUACCUAAUAACUGCGUAUUAUGUGUUAUUCACAUGGGGGUUUUUUAU